AUGUGGUACCCUUGCGAGACCAUGCAACAGGAUGCUAUGCGAGUGAUGGAGAAAGGCAAGGGCGUGAUAGCUGUGACAGAGGAGAACAAGGUGGAGGCGCUAGAGAACAAGAUGUCAACCCAUGAAACAGUGAUCACACCAAGCACCAGACAUGAUUGGACCCAUGAGGAACACUGUGCUCUUCGGUCCGCCAUGAAUGCAAGAGUUAGUGUACAAGAGCCAAGGUCAAUAAUCGCUGGGUUCAACAACAAGGAAAGUAGCUCUGAUGGUGCCAAUCAAAACACCUACAAUAAGAAGCCCGACACUAAGCUCCGCAUGUGGUACCCUUGCGAGACCACGCAACAGGAUGCUAUUCGAGUGAUGGAGAAAGGAAAGGGUGUGAUAUCUAUGAUAGAGGAGAACAAGGUGGAGGCACUAGAGAACAAGAUGUCAACCCAUCAACCAGUGAUCGCACCAAGCGCCAGAAACUAUUGGACCCAGGAGGAACACUGGUCUCUCUGGUAUGCCAUGAAUGCGAGAGUUGGAGUAGAGGAGCCAGGGUCAAUCAUCACUAGGUUCAACAACAAGGAAAGUAGCCAUGUUGAUGAGAAUAAUAGCAAGUACAAUAACAAGCCCGACACAGAGCUCCACAUGAAGUACCAUUGCGAGACCAUGCAACAGGAGGAUAUGCGAGUGAUGGAGAAAAGCAAGGAUGUGAUAGCUAUGUCAGAGGAGAACAAUAUUGAGGUGCUAGAGAACGAGAUGUCCAUCCAUCAACCAGUAACUGCACCAAGCGCCAGAAUUUAUUGGACCAAGGAGGAACAUCGGAACUUUCUCCAUGGAUUGAGUGUCUAUGGCCGUGGGAAAUGGAAGGAAAUAUCGAAGGAUUUCGUCACCACCAAGACUCCUGUGCAGGUUUCAAGCCACGCACAUAAGUACUUCAAGAGGCUAGAGAGAAAAAAUCUUAGGCGGCGCUACAGCAUCAACGAUCUAGGGCUUGAAAUUGCCGAACCAUGGAUAAUGGAGAAUAGCUCUAGUGCCCGACAAACUCGCAUCCUUGGGAAUCUUAACAACCAGAACCCAAGUUUUGGAUUGUGA
rnacentral:rRNA from 1 species